rnacentral:rRNA from 1 species
AGAGUUUGAUCAUGGCUCAGAAUCAACGCUGGCGGCGUGCCUAACACAUGCAAGUCGAACGCGAAAGUCCCGCAAGGGAUCAGUAGAGUGGCAAACGGGUGAGUAACACGUGGGUGACCUGCCUUCGAGCGGGGGAUAACGUCCCGAAAGGGACGCUAAUACCGCAUGACAUCCUGCCUUUGAAGAGGUGGAGAUCAAAGCUGCGGAUCGCAAGACGUAGCACUCGAAGAGGGGCCCGCGCCUGAUUAGCUAGUUGGUGGGGUAACGGCUCACCAAGGCGACGAUCAGUAGCCGGCCUGAGAGGGCGGACGGCCACACUGGGACUGAGACACGGCCCAGACUCCUACGGGAGGCAGCAGUGGGGAAUUGUUCGCAAUGGGCGCAAGCCUGACGACGCAACGCCGCGUGGAGGACGAAGAUCUUCGGGUCGUAAACUCCUUUCGAUCGAGACGAACGGUCUCCGGGUGAACAAUCCGGGGAAGUGACGGUACCGAGAGAAGAAGCCCCGGCUAACUCCGUGCCAGCAGCCGCGGUAAUACGGGGGGGGCAAGCGUUGUUCGGAAUUACUGGGCGUAAAGGGCUCGUAGGCGGCCAACUAAGUCAGACGUGAAAUCCCUCGGCUUAACCGGGGAACUGCGUCUGAUACUGGAUGGCUUGAGAUUGGGAGAGGGAUGCGGAAUUCCAGGUGUAGCGGUGAAAUGCGUAGAUAUCUGGAGGAACACCGGUGGCGAAAGCGGCAUCCUGGACCAACACUGACGCUGAGGAGCGAAAGCCAGGGGAGCAAACGGGAUUAGAUACCCCGGUAGUCCUGGCCCUAAACGAUGAAUGCUUGGUGUGGCGGGUAUCGAUCCCUGCCGUGCCGAAGCUAACGCAUUAAGCAUUCC